rnacentral:tRNA from 1 species
GGUCGUGGCUCAGUUGUAGAGCACUUGCCUUGCACGUGUGAGACACUGGGUUCAAUUCCCAGCACCA